rnacentral:tRNA from 1 species
GGGGGUGUAGCUCAGUUGGCAGAGCGCAACGUUCGCAAUGUUGAGGUCGUGGGUUCGAUUCCCAUCACCUCCACCG